UGCGCCUUGCCAGCCCGCUCAGAAACUCAAAGGAAUUGAGGGGGCCCGCACAAGCGGUGGAGCAUGUGGUUUAAUUCGAUGGUACGCGAGGAACCUUACCAGGGCUUGACAUACGCCGGAAGCGCAUCGAAAGGUGCGUGCCGCUUGCGGCCGGCGUACAGGUGCUGCAUGGCUGUCGUCAGCUCGUGCUGUGAAGUGUUGGGUUAAGUCCCGCAACGAGCGCAACCCCCGCUGCCUGUUGCCACCACGAGAGGUGGGGACUCAGGCGGGACCGCCGGUGACAAACCGGAGGAAGGUGGGGACGACGUCAAGUCAUCAUGGCCCUUAUGUCCGGGGCUACACACGUGCUACAAUGGCCGGUACAAAGGGUUGCGAAGCCGUGAGGUGGAGCGAAUCUCAAAAAGCCGGCCUCAGUUCGGAUUGGAGGCUGCAACUCGACUCCAUGAAGUUGGAAUCGCUAGUAAUCGUGGAUCAGCAUGCCACGGUGAAUACGUUCCCGGGCCUU
rnacentral:rRNA from 1 species